AAGGCAAAAUGCAUAAUUGUAAUUCUCUAAAAGUUUGUAAACGAUUUGAUCUAAAAACAGACCAUACUGACAGAGAAGAUACAAUGCUUUAACGUGUUAGGUACUCGCCCAGAAAGUAGUAUUUAUACAAUUGUAGUCGCUUUAUACAACACGCCCAUAGGCAUAAAUCACUGCAUUCACAGUCAGAUGCAAGGCCAGACGACUGUGUAAUUCCAUAAAAAUUACAAUUGCGCUUAUUACAUUAAUGGCAAACCCAAACUGGCCGAGACCGCCAUAUGCAACACCUAAGUGUCCUUGAAUCAGUGCGCGGAUCCCCGUGGACCAUAACAUGCAUGUAUAAUGAGACUUUCGAAUACAAAGCCACAGAGAUACGGACGCAAAUCUUUUGGCAUCAGUAGCUCACCACUUCCUCAUGAGUCUGGUUGGUCCGCCAGAGCUGAGCAGGUCUGUCUACUCUCUAACCAACACUAACUAGAAGCGAUGCAUCUGAAAGUGACCUUGGCUGCAGCCGCCACGGUAGCAGGGGCUGCCUUCUGGGGACCAGCUGCAGCCCACACCGAACCCUUCAGCCAAACCGGCUCCGACUCCUUGCACACCCACCUCAGACUAGCUCGAUCCCUGUCGUCCCAAAAAACGCCGCCACCUUCUCCAAACCCGGAGGAGGCUGACAGCGACGCGUGUGAUGAGAAUGAGGAAAGCAUGGAUGCCGGCAAACGUAAACAAGCACGCAAGGAAAACAAGAAAAAAAAUCCUUUUAAAUAUUUCCAGUAAUAACCACGUUCACAAGGGUUAGCUAAAUGUGUAUCUUUUCUCGAGCUGAACUAGCUGACGACACUAUAGAUCUUACACACGUCAGUAGCUGGCGAGAAAUGUUAGAAUGUUCAUUAAGACUUCGACAAAAAGGACUAGACCCACAAAAUCAGGUUUCUACAUACUAUGGAGAAGCAUGAACCUAUUAACGGCCAAGCUGCCUCACUCUCAUACACUCAGCACAUCCACUGCAACAACUUCAAAACCAUGUAUGCUUGCAAGAUGAGAGGCAGUUUUUCUCUAUAUUAUAAGAAGAUUUUUAUGUACUUGCAAUUAGCAUGAAAAAAUAUUGUAUUUAGUAAAUUAAAAAAAAUGUAUCUGCUUUUUCAACAGUACAAUUCCUCGUAAAUGCA